rnacentral:rRNA from 1 species
GACGAACUGUUCUAACGUUAUUCGGAAUCACUGGGCUUAAAGGGCGCGUAGGCUGUUUGUUAAGCGGGGUCUGAAAUCCCUCGGCUCAACCGAGGAACUGGGCUUCGAACUGGCAGACUAGAGUGAAGUAGGGGUAAGCGGAACUUGCGGUGGAGCGGUGAAAUGCUUUGAUAUUGCAAGGAACACCGGCGGCGAAGGCGGCUUACUGGGCUUCAACUGACGCUUAAGCGCGAAAGCUAAGGUAGCGAACGGGAUUAGAUACCUCGGUAGUCCCUGAGCGGGCUGG